UACAAGAUGAGAUACAGUCGGCAAGAUAAGACAGCAGUGUUGCAGCCACUGGGAAUGGUCGAGACUUAACUACCCAUAAUCCAUUGUCACUCCAUAGAAAACGCACAAUUUGAAUCAGGUGUGAUGGGAGGUUGGUAAAGCUGCGCCUGCAGUUAUAAAAACAUUUGUUUGAACAGGCAUUGUGCACUUUUAGUCCGGGAAUCUAGGGAGAUAACAGGAGCACACAGGCUAAGACGCACAGUCAGAAGCAGCACUGAACAUGUCGGACUCUGAGAGCGCUGCUGUCCUUGCUGAGGCCCCCGUGCCCGCUGCCUGUGAGGCCAUCAAGGCUGACCUGGACAAGUGUGUGAAAGAGAAUGGUGAGGAGGGCUGCAAGGAGCUGAUGGAGGCGUUCGCAGCCUGUGUGAAGAGCGCUGCUGGGGCAUCGUGAGGAGAGGAGCUCGGCUCACAGGAAAUGUCCACUGCACUGAGUCCUCCACCUUCCCAGCAUUCCCUUCUGCACAUGGCACUGGACUGAAUGAUACAGAUUCUGAUGGGGGGUUUGGUGGCAGAGUCUUCGUCUUGUCCCCUUGAUCCACCCCCCCCUCCUGUAAAGCUUAAGUGAUUUCUGAGCCUCCCCCUCUGUCCCCUGCCCCUAUGGCUGAAUUGUAGGCAGUUCUGGAGAGCCCAUGGCUGUUAUGUAAAUUGUCUUCUCAAGAUGCUUACAUUUAAAUGCAAAUAAUAAAGUGAUGAUUGGUACAGUG